UACGUAGGGAGCAAGCGUUGUCCGGAAUUAUUGGGCGUAAAGCGCACGUAGGCGGUUUGUUAAGUCGGAUGUGAAAUCCCUCGGCUCAACUGAGGAAGUGCAUCCGAAACUGGCAAGCUUGAGUACGAAAGAGGAUCGCGGAAUUCCCGGUGUAGAGGUGAAAUUCGUAGAUAUCGGGAGGAACACCGGUGGCGAAGGCGGCGAUCUGGGUCGAUACUGACGCUGAGGUGCGAAAACGUGGGGAGCAAACAGG
rnacentral:rRNA from 1 species